AGCCCGCACUUGGUGUUCGGUGGCUCUUGCCUGGGCGUACUCAGUGCAGACCGCACUUCUUCCUGCCUGGAGUUUGGGGUUGUCAGGCUCCAACUGGCGCCUUCUCCUGGGACUUAGGAUGCCGGGGCUGCCCAAGCCGCGGGCCCAGCAGAGCUGGGGGGCCGGGCGGGGCCUGCCUGGCCCAUGAGAAUCUGCACCAGCAGGUCGGUGGCCAGCACGUGCGACGGCUCCUCGAAGCCGAUGGUAACGGAGCUGGUCAGUGAUCGGACUGAACAUGGAGUCCAGCGGGAGGCGAGCUGGGGCCGCCCCGAGCUCCGCUGCCAGUGGCUCCCGGGAGGACGUGGAGGUGGGAGCUUCCAUCAUGGACUGUGCUCGCUGGGGCUCCAGCUCUGUUGAACCCUCAGGUCUCCCGGCCGGCGACCACGAGGGGUCUCCAUAAGGCUGCGGCCCGGGUCCCAAUUCCUC
rnacentral:lncRNA from 1 species